UACAGGGGGGUGCAAACGUUGCUCGGAAUCACUGGGCGUAAAGGGCGUGUAGGCGGGAAGGAAAGUCAGAUGUGAAAUCCCUGGGCUCAACCCAGGAACUGCAUUUGAAACUCCCUUUCUUGAGUGUCGGAGAGGAAAGUGGAAUUCCUGGUGUAGAGGUGAAAUUCGUAGAUAUCAGGAGGAACACCGGUGGCGAAGGCGGCUUUCUGGGACGACAA
rnacentral:rRNA from 1 species